CUAUGACCGCACUGUCACCCUGCAAGGUCAGUCCACACCUCUAUGACCGCACUGUCACCCUGCAAGGUCAGUCCACACCUCUAUGACCGCACUGUCACCCUGCAAGGUCAGUCCACACCUCUAUGACCACACCGUCACCCUGCAAGGUCAGUCCACACCUCUAUGACCGCACUGUCACCCUGCAAGGUCAGUCCACACCUCUAUGACCGCACUGUCACCCUGCAAGGUCAGUCCACACCUCUAUGACCGCACUGUCACCCUGCAAGGUCAGUCCACACCUCUAUGACCG